rnacentral:rRNA from 1 species
UGGGGAAUUUUGGACAAUGGGCGAAAGCCUGAUCCAGCAAUGCCGCGUGCAGGAUGAAGGCCUUCGGGUUGUAAACUGCUUUUGUACGGAACGAAAAAGCUUCUCCUAAUACGAGAGGCCCAUGACGGUACCGUAAGAAUAAGCACCGGCUAACUACGUGCCAGCAGCCGCGGUAAUACGUAGGGUGCGAGCGUUAAUCGGAAUUACUGGGCGUAAAGCGUGCGCAGGCGGUUAUGUAAGACAGAUGUGAAAUCCCCGGGCUCAACCUGGGAACUGCAUUUGUGACUGCAUGGCUAGAGUACGGUAGAGGGGGGAUGGAAUUCCGCGUGUAGCAGUGAAAUGCGUAGAUAUGCGGAGGAACACCGAUGGCGAAGGCAAUCCCCUGGACUGUACUGACGCUCAUGCACGAAAGCGUGGGGAGCAAACAGGAUUAGAUACCCUGGUAGUCCACGCCCUAAACGAUGUCAACUGGUUGUUGGGAAUUAGUUUUCUCAGUAACGAAGCUAACGCGUGAAGUUGACCGCCUGGGGAGUACGGCCGCAAGGUUGAAACUCAAAUGAAUUGACGGGGUCAUAGCUGUUUCCU